rnacentral:lncRNA from 1 species
AUGUCCUUCAGCAGAGGAUUUUCUAUUAGAAUCGCUCCUUCACCGUCUCUGUUGUGUGUUGUUCUGUUAGAUGAAUUUUUGAUAACUCGCCGUGUUUUCCUUCCGUGCAGUUCAGAUUCUGAGGGCACCUUUGAGACUCCAGAGGCUGAAUCUCCAGUUGUUGAGAAGCUGUUGGGCCAACCGGACAAUUCCAGCCACACAGUUGCUGAUGAUGUUACAAACCACAUUUUGGACAAAAACUCAAACCAAAACACCACCACAGCUCCAUCAGAUGAGGCGACAUCCCCCAAUGAUGGCACCUUUAGUUUGGAUCAAAACCUCAAUGUAACCAUAAGCUCUAAAUCUGAUCACGAGGAGGCUUUGUCCCAAUCCAGCCCCCAGGUCAAUUCUCAAACCCCUCAGCUCCCAUUGCGGCCCCCCCUCUCUCUUCUGAUCAAACCUGAUCCUUCAGAGGUGGAUGAUGAGCCCCCUGUGACACCUGAUGUCAGCCCAGACUCCAACCUAACUGUGGAUCCUGACUUGCUAAAUGGGAACAUGAAGGCUGAUGGUGUGCUGCCCAACUCAAAGCUCAGCUGUGACAUAAACGACUCAAUUAUCACGAACUCCUGUAAAGUAAAACAAAAUCAAGAAAUAAAGGACUUUUGCGGAAAGGUGAGUUCUAAACAUUUAAUUCUGUUUGUCUUUUGA